UGGGGAAUAUUGGACAAUGGGCGAAAGCCUGAUCCAGCAAUGCCGCGUGUGUGAAGAAGGCCUUCGGGUUGUAAAGCACUUUGAUCUGGGAAGAAAAAGCUUUGGCUAACAUCCAAAGCCUUGACGGUACCAGAGGAACAAGCACCGGCUAACUCUGUGCCAGCAGCCGCGGUAAUACAGAGGGUGCUAGCGUUAAUCGGAUUUACUGGGCGUAAAGCGUGUGUAGGCGGUUCGUUAAGUCGGAUGUGAAAGCCCUGGGCUCAACCUGGGAAUUGCACUCGAUACUGGCGGGCUAGAGUACGGUAGAGGGCGGCGGAAUUCCGGGUGUAGCGGUGAAAUGCGUAGAUAUCCGGAGGAACACCGAUGGCGAAGGCAACCGCCUGGGCCUGUACUGACGCUGAGACACGAAAGCGUGGGGAGCAAACAGG
rnacentral:rRNA from 1 species